UCACCGCCCCCGGGCGGGCGGGCGGCCAGGCCGGCCUAGGCCAAAGCUCCUCACCUGGCGGUGGCGGUGUAACUCCCGGCUAGCUCGCCUCCUCAGGCGGCGGCGGCGGCGGCGUCGAAAAAGGAAGAGGCGACGGCACACCCAGUGCCUUCUCUGCUGUCUGAAGGGCCAUUCUUCAAGGGUUGAGAGGAGACAUGAGAAACACAGUGGUGGAAGAUAUCAGCCUGGGGAAGAUACCAGUGAGGCUUGAGAAAAUGCCUUUCAGCAAAACUAAAAUCAGGCCGUGGAGGGGGAACUUUUGAUCUGAGUGAUCAAGCUCCAAGAAGGACAGCUCCUUUAGGACACUGCUCCAGAUAGGAUGGGGAAGCAUCCUCUGGCUUGCAGGUCCCAGGAUUCAGAAGUAGUACUGCUCUCUUCAUCCACUGAUAUCCACCCCAAGGAAUUUGCACUAGAGGCUCAUGAAAGAAAGGGAGAACUCCGAGGGAACCAAAAGGAUUAGAAAAAUGAUGCCUGCAUGCCUGAUGCCCACAUGCAGUGAGCCCCUUAAUCCUUGCCUCUGUCGUCCUGGUGCUGUCCCCAGGCUGAUACCCUGGUUGGAAGAGUACGGCCUUCAGCUAGAGCAACUAAGGAGGCCUAGGAUGAGUGCCAGGGUUCUCAGGAUGCGUGAGAGCUGCCAACACCAGUGACUGGGGAGAGGGUUGUCAUCCCUGUGGAGGUACUGGAGAAGUUGGGAGGGGGAAGCUGGGGGAGAGGAAAGAAGGCAGAGAUGAGCUCAGGGCCCCCAGAGAAUGGAGCCUUUGUGUGGGGUACAGAUGAGGGACAAGGGGGUGAUUGUGUGGGAGGGCCGGAAGUACCACACAGACUGGCACCACCAUAGCCAGCACCGGAUUCACCCCUCUCCUGCUCCAAGAACUCCCUGGGCCUCAAGGGACCAGUACCAGAUCUGGUCAGGGAAAGCAGUGUGUGCCCGAAGGCAGCAAGGGAUGAAAAGGUGGAAAGGAGGAUGUGCAGCCAGGAGAAAAAGUGAGGUAUCCCCCACCAUUAUCCCAGACCCAGAGAACAGGAGGCAGAAGAAAAAAGACAGAAGCAGCUU